GUUUCAAUUUCAUUCCCAAAACCAAACUCUUGUUUUAUCAGGCAACUACAUGUGUUAUUCUGGGGUUUCCCCCUUCUUCCUCUUCUCUCCCGCCUCUCACAGCACAACAACCAACCCAAGCAAAUAAAGCUCAAGGUUGGAGAGAGCUGCAAAACACUGAAGAUAAGUAGGAAAAACUCUUUUUGGGUAUCAAAGUUGUUUGCAAGCCAGAAGAACGAGAGAAAGAGAGAGAUAGAGAUAGAGAUAGGAAGAGAAACAUCUCUUCUCACCUCUUUCCUCUCUCUCUCACCCUCCCUCUUCUAAGCUUGAUAAAAAUGUUAUUCAAUGAUGAUCCUUCCGCAGGUUCACCUACGGAAA
rnacentral:misc_RNA from 1 species